rnacentral:rRNA from 1 species
AUUGUCCUACGGGGCGCAGCAGUAGGGAAUAUUGCUCAAUGGGGGAAACUCUGAUGUAGCAACGCCGCGUGGAGGAUGAAGGGUUUAGGAUUGUAAACUUCUUUUGUGAGAGAAGAUAAUGACGGUAUCUCACGAAUAAGCACCGGCUAACUACGUGCCAGCAGCCGCGGUAAUACGGAGGGAGCAAGCGUUACUCGGAAUCACUGGGCGUAAAGAGAGCGCAGGCGGGCGUGAAAG